GUAGUCAUAUGCUUGUCUCAAAGAUUAAGCCAUGCAUGUCUAAGUAUAAGCACUUAUACUGUGAAACUGCGAAUGGCUCAUUAAAUCAGUUAUAGUUUAUUUGAUGAUCAUUGCUACAUGGAUAACUGUGGUAAUUCUAGAGCUAAUACAUGCACAUAAGCCCCGUUUAGGGGUGUAUUUAUUAGGUAAAAUCCAUCGGCUUCGGCCUUUGGGGAGUCAUAAUAACUGCACGAAUCGCAUGGCCUUGCGCCGGCGAUGCUUCAUUCAAAUAUCUGCCCUAUCAACUUUCGAUGGUACGGUAGUGGCCUACCAUGGUUGCAACGGGCAACGGGGAAUAAGGGUUCGAUUCCGGAGAGGGAGCCUGAGAAACGGCUACCACAUCCAAGGAAGGCAGCAGGCGCGCAAAUUAUCCAAUCCCGACACGGGGAGAUAGUGACAAAAAAUAACAAUACAGGGCUUUCAUAGGUCUUGUAAUUGGAAUGAGUACAAUUUAAAUCCCUUAACGAGGAACAAUUGGAGGGCAAGUCUGGUGCCAGCAGCC
rnacentral:rRNA from 1 species